GGGACUUAGAACAAGAAAAGGCUCUGAAACAGAUCCAAGAUGUUGUUUGAGCCAUGCAACUAGAAGAUCUCAUAGAACUAAAGUUAUCUAAUUUACAGAAAAGGUUUUACGUGACGUCUAUUGUACAGAUUCAUAUGAAAACCAUAGUUCAAACUCCAAGGUUUAAGAAGUAAGAAAGAUCAUGCCAUUUGCAACAAACAUGCAUGCAUAUUUGAAAAGCAACUGUAAGUAUGCUAUUGGACAUUGGUAAAGAUUGAAUAUCUGACCAUGGCAUAUCAAGAAACCAUGGAAUGAGUACUGCUUAUCAAGAUCUGGGUGUGAGAAGACUUAAAAAGUCAGAUAGUCAGUGAGAACCAGCUAGAAUCCAUGAAAUUGUGACCAAUAAGAAUCCCAGAGAAGUUCUGCCCUAAUGGAGUCAACUUGAUUUGAGAUGCAAAUAGAUUUGCGCAAUCAUGAUGUUUUUCAGUGAAAAAGUGGGAAGAUGAAGUGUUUGGAGGGCUUUUAAAUGGAGUAAAAUGGAAACAAAGACAAGUUAUCCCAACACCAAAAAGAGUAGGGGAUAGAAGGAUAUGUCAAGGUUUGAAAACCAUCCUUCAGAAAUGCAGGAAAGUCAAAGCUAGAAAUCUGUUGUGGGAAAACUAGAAGACCAAAAAAAGCACGAAAGUCAAGAAAGAAGUCUCUUUUCACAUGAAAGUGGCCUGAAGACAAAUACUGCUAUGAAUGGUUACAUCUAGGACUUCUGAAAUUAGCCCCAGAUUCAACUCAUUUUUUUCUGCAUUUGCUGAGCAAUAUGACAUGUUUACACCGAUUAGCUAAAAAGUUAUGUGAAGAAUGGGCAACAAUAUCUCUAAGUAACUAGGAGACCAUGUCCCUUGGCAUAAGUAUUGAUCUUCAAUAAUUUGUCCUUGAUAUUGAGAGAAGAGGAUCAAACUAUUUGAACCGGAUUGCUGUACUUCAACAUGUAAAGUGAAAAUGCAGACCCAGUUGACUAUAUUUCACUCAUUUGGGCCAAAGAAGCAGAAGUUUAUUAACAAAGAAGGAGAAUAACAAAAGAAAUAUAAGAUGGAAAGAAAAGCAAAAAGAAAGAAAACUAAAGAAAAAGCAAAAGAAAGAAUACUAAAUCUGAAAUACAUUUUCGUCCCCAAAUCAAGUUGGUGCAUAAAGUUCAAAUGUUUUCCUGA
ensembl:lncRNA LINC02364 long intergenic non-protein coding RNA 2364